AGGCAGGUGGAGAGGGGAUGGGGGAGGUCUCAGGUCCUCUUGCUCACCCAUCAGCUGUGUAGUGUCUGAAGUGAUUAAGGAGCUUGGGGAGAGCCCUGAAUGGGAAGAAAUGGGUUCCAUGUGCAGCAAGCCAGGAGAGAUUUAGGCAACGAGAACCUCCAGUUCUGUCUUAGGGUUCCCAGCUUUCUCCUUGUCCUGAGGGAGCCGCUGAGCCUGUGGGAGAUGAGGGGUGCCCAUUCCCCAGUGCUUCUCACCCUCCCCCACCUGCCCUCCUGGGGUACCUUUGUCUGCCACUUGCAUCCUAUUGGAAGCUGUCCCCAAGUGCGUGUUAGGCAGGUGGCAGGUGCUGGAGCAGAGUGCACCACCCUCCGGCGAUCACUGUGAGUUGGGGUAAGAGUGGGGUGUUCCUGCCAGCCCCAGGAGAGGGGAAAGCAAGCCCCCGUCCACCCUUGUGGGUCUCUGCUCCUGGAAAAGGUGCUCUAGCAGGCUCAUCUGUGUGAGUCACUGUCUUCCAUGUGGGACAGGGUUUCAUUCUGUCACCAAGGCUGGAGUGCAGUGGCGUGAUCUUGGUUCACUGCAACCUCUCCCUCCCGGACUCAAGCCAUCCCCCUGCCUCUGUCUCCUGAGUAGCUGGAAUUAUAGAUGUACACCACCACACCUGACUAGUUUUUUAAUUUUUUGUGAAGACGGAGUUUUGCAGUGUUGCCUGGGCUGGUCUCAACUCCUGGGCUCAAGAAAUCCACCUGCCUCUGCCUCCCAAAGUGCUGGGAUUACAGAUGUGAGCCACCGUGCCAGCCUUAGUUAAUAAUUCUUUACUCUGUUCAAAGAACUGGUGUGGGUAUUGUCUCCUUAUUGAACCUGACUGAUAAUGGACAGGCCUUGAGCCCCCAAGUUGCUGAGGCCCUUAUGAAUGCUGGAAGCCAAGCUUGCACAUUCUAGGCAGCCAUUUGGAAGAUUCUUCUCUGCGCAUGACCAGCUGAAAAGGAAAAACCCCGAAACAUUGGCACUGUGAUUUCUCCAUGUGAACAGUUUAGUUCGCCGAGGUGGACAUGCCUCAUUCAUGCUUAUGGAGUGACCGACCAGCCUUUAGUGACACCCCCUGAAAUGUGAGUCAUCCAUGGGUCACUAGUCAUUGGAGAAGAGCCCCUUAUACAAAACUUGGAGCUCAGACCACAAACAACAACAACAAUCCAAAAAAUAAAAAAAUGAAAAA
ensembl:lncRNA LINC00592 long intergenic non-protein coding RNA 592